rnacentral:ribozyme from 14 species
AAUAAUGAGGAUAAUAAUAAGGAGGAAGAAGAGGGUUCCUGCGUUGCUGUUGUUGUUGUUGAUUCCAACUCUUUUUUCAAUAAUUCCGUUUUUUGUUUAUUUCUUUCUUUGACUAAUUCGGUCACAAAAUAAUGGGUGUGAACACCCGAGCCGGCUGCUAUUUCCAGAAUA